rnacentral:rRNA from 1 species
CUCGUAGUUGGAUUUGUGGUGUACUUCGGCGGCCCGUCACUAUGUGAUGGAGCUUGCUGAAGUCGCCAUCCUUGGGUGGAUCCUGUGUGGCAUUAAGUUGUCGUGCAGGGGAUGCCCAUCGUUUACUGUGAAAAAAUUAGAGUGUUCAAAGCAGGCUUAUGCCGUUGAAUAUAUUAGCAUGGAAUAAUAAGAUAGGACCUUGGUACUAUUUUGUUGGUUUGCGCACCAAGGUAAUGAUUAAUAGGGACAGUUGGGGGUAUUCGUAUUUCAUUGUCAGAGGUGAAAUUCUUGGAUUUUUGAAAGACGAACUACUGCGAAAGCAUUUACCAAGGAUGUUUUCAUUAAUCAAGAACGAAAGUUAGGGGAUCGAAGAUGAUUAGAUACCAUCGUAGUCUUAACCAUAAACUAUGCCGACAAGGGAUUGGUGGAGUUUCGUUAUGUCUCCAUCAGCACCUUAUGAAAAAUCACAAGUCUUUGGGUUCCGGG